rnacentral:rRNA from 1 species
AGGGUUUGAUUAUGGCUCAGGAUGAACGCUAGCUACAGGCUUAACACAUGCAAGUCGAGGGGAAACGGCAGGGAGUGCUUGCACACUCUGGACGUCGACCGGCGCACGGGUGAGUAACGCGUAUCCAACCUGCCCAUUACUCGGGAAUAACCUCUCGAAAGAGAGCCUAAUGCCCGAUUCAUUCCAUAGAGGACAUCUGAAGUGGAAUAAAGAUUCAUCGGUAAUGGAUGGGGAUGCGUCUGAUUAGCUUGUUGGCGGGGUAACGGCCCACCAAGGCGACGAUCAGUAGGGGUUCUGAGAGGAAGGUCCCCCACAUUGGAACUGAGACACGGUCCAA